GAUGAACGCUGGCGGCGUGCCUAAUACAUGCAAGUCGAGCGAACGGACGAGAAGCUUGCUUCUCUGAUGUUAGCGGCGGACGGGUGAGUAACACGUGGAUAACCUACCUAUAAGACUGGGAUAACUUCGGGAAACCGGAACUAAUACCGGAUGAUAUUUUGAACCGCAUGGUUCAAAAGUGAAAGACGGUCUUGCUGUCACUUAUAGAUGGAUCCGCGCUGCAUUAGCUAGUUGGUAAGGUAACGGCUUACCAAGGCAACGAUGCAUAGCCGACCUGAGAGGGUGAUCGGCCACACUGGAACUGAGACACGGUCCAGACUCCUACGGGAGGCAGCAGUAGGGAAUCUUCCGCAAUAGGCGAAAGCCUGACGGAGCAGCGCCGCGUGAGUGAUGAAGGUCUUCGGAUCGUAAAACUCUGUUAUUAGGGAAGAACAUAUGUGUAAGUAACUGUGCACAUCUUGACGGUACCUAAUCAGAAAGCCACGGCUAACUACGUG
rnacentral:rRNA from 1 species